rnacentral:rRNA from 1 species
UACGUAGGGUGCGAGCGUUAAUCGGAAUUACUGGGCGUAAAGCGUGCGCAGGCGGUUCGUUAAGACAGAUGUGAAAUCCCCGGGCUUAACCUGGGAACUGCAUUUGUGACUGGCGAGCUAGAGUAUGGCAGAGGGGGGUAGAAUUCCACGUGUAGCAGUGAAAUGCGUAGAGAUGUGGAGGAAUACCGAUGGCGAAGGCAGCCCCCUUGGCCAAUACUGACGCUCAUGCACGAAAGCGUGGGGAGCAAACAGG